rnacentral:lncRNA from 1 species
UUUUUUUUUUUUUUCCUAAUAUUGCUAUCUCUUUUUUUAAACCUUGAAGGAAUGUAUCUCUGACUUGUCUGAUGUUCUUUGUUCUGACAAGACAUUAAACUGUGCUGAAAACCAGGCUUCUCCAUAACAGUUCCUCUGGGUCAUCUAAGAGGCUGUCUUCCAGAUUAUAGUCCUCAGUUAGGUUCAAAUAAAACUCUUUUCUGUUUCCAUUAUAGACUGUUUGAUGAUUUUCAUCAACACUUUCUUCUAGGACUUAGAGAGUCAUUGUUCUGCUCCAACUUGUGAAGAUAAUCCAUGACCUUUUAUUAGAUCUGGUAACAUAGCUCUUGAGCUUUAUUUCCUUAGUUAGCAGAAAUGAUGUGAUAAAAGGCAACACGGAGCAUCCCAAGGUUAGCCUUUUGUGUGGACAGUUUACAAGAAGCCUUUUCAGGUGUUCUUUAGGCCCCCUCAUGAACCUCAAAGUACAGAUGAAGGAUCUGCUCAGUAAGAUGCUUUCUCAUGAAGUACUUUAGUCUUUUGUGCUGGGUUCAUUAAACUGUUCAUUAGUUAAAAAAAAAAAAAAAAAGACAAUUUUGAAGAUAAAGAAAGAAGUUCUGGCAGCCAUUUAAAAGGAAAAGUAGAUAAGAUACUGAUGUGUAAGCAACUGGCACAUUUUAAGUAUCUAAAGGUCAGAUGGCCAUAAACGGCUAAAUGACUGAGAGAAUCCACUAUGCCUAACAUUUACUCCAGAAGUUUGACUCUAAAUUCAUAUAAAAUACUAUCCUGUGGGGUGGACUGGGAGUUUGGGGUUAGCAGAUCCAAACUACUACGUUUAGAAGGGAUAACCAAUGAGAUCCUGCUGUAUCUAUAGCCCAGAGAACUAUAUCCGGUCACUUGUGAUUGAACAUGAUAGAGGAGAAUAUAAGAAAAAGAGUGUAUAUAUAUAUAACUGGGUCACUUUGCUGUACAGCAAAAAUUGACAGAACACUGUAAAUCAACUAUAAUAAAAAAAAUUUUGGAGUUCCCGUCAUGGUUCAGUGGUUAACAAACCCGACUAGUAUCCAUGAGCUAAUACCUGGCCCAGCUCAGGGGGUUAAGGAUCCAGCAUUGCCAUGAGCUGUGGGUGUAGGUCGAAGUCAUAGCUCGAAUCUGGCAUUGCUGUGGCUGUGGCGUAGGCCCGUGGCUACAGCUCUAAUUCAGCUCAAGCUGGGAACCUCUAUAUGCCACGGGUGUGGCCCUAAAAAGACAAAAAUAAGAAAUAAAAUUAAAAUAAUAAAAAAAUAAUAAAAAAGAAAAAAGAAAAUAUUGUCCAGAUUUUCGAAAACCAAAUUUAUUACUGAUGGACAUCCUCUUCUUCCCUUAACAAACCUAUAUCCUCUAUAUCCUAUCCUCAACACAAAAGAGAGCCUUAAAUUUUAGCCUUAGAAUGGGAAUGCCUUGCCCUACCAAUGUAUUUGUCCUUACAAAAGGAAAAAAAAAAAAAAAAAAACACAAAUUUUCUGAGUUUGCCAAUUGUUAUAAACUUGCAGAAUGUGUAACAAACCAAAUCCAAAAUGGCAGACUGUAAUCCAAAAGAAUAACCAUCUCAGAAGAAUUACUCAAGAGAAAAAAAAAUAUGAGAACAUCUCAUGAAAAUAAUAAUAACUAGGCAAACUUCCUGUGUAAUAUACUUUUUUCUAUUAUCAGGUAAUAGUUUCCUCCAUCACACAUUUUGUGAUUCUGCCUCUUUGAUACGGAAAUUGCAGCUUCGGUUAUUUACAAGGUGUUCUAGCUCCAGGAUGUUAACAGCACUUGGGAUUAUGCUCUGUAUCAGCCUGCAAUUCAAAAACUGUCAAAGCCAUUUCACAUCUUUUUUUAGCUAUCAUUUCAUUCUCACAAAAAGUCCUAUGUGGUAUCACCAAUCACUACUACAGUUUUAAGACAACUUGAAAUCCAGGAAGGUUGAGCUACAUCCCUGGACUAACCAGCCUGACCUGAGAGUCCCAGCUUCCGUCUUUACCACAGACUCAGCCUCAAGAGAGGAACUAUUAUAAAUAGCAGGUCUUAGCUUUGGUUAAGGCUGGCCACAUGAGCCCAGACCACAUAUUUUGGAACUGGAGUAGCAUUCUAAGACAGAUUCAGUGGGGUAGGGACCCAUGCACACUAGUUAGUGGAACAACUCUGAUUAAAUGUCUUUGUCAGCAUCUUCCUCUGCAGUCCUUUGGGUCAACUGACUUCAAAUUUCUGGGUUUGUUUUUCCUAAAAAGUUUACCUAGCAUGAACCGCAUUUUCUUUAUGCAUAUUCUCUGUAAAUACGAAAGAAAAUUCAACCACACUCUUCUAAAUUGAACAACAGAACAAUGGAAUGGCAAAAAUUUAGAGUGACAUAGCAGUUUAGCUUCCUCAUCCAUAAAACAGAUGUCCUGCCAUCUUUACAUGAUUGUUGUUAAAAAUCAAGCGAGACAGAGGUGCUUUGUUAACCGUUAAGUGCCCCAGCUAUAAAAAAUGAAGUUAUUGCCACUCUCUAGGCAUGCCAGGAGGGGGGAAAAUAACUCUACAGCAGUAUUUAUCAAACUUUUUCCUUCACUAACUCCAAGGACUCACUAUCAUAUCAAGAUCAGCCUCCCAUCUCGGGAGAAAUUAGCAGAGCUUUCAAGUAGAUGAAAUGAAAUGAAUGGCAAUGAGAUUCUUAUGAAAUAUGAUCCAUAACCCCCUCCAGUACAUUAGCUAAUCAAAUAUUUAUACUGUUCUUAGUUUAUUUUUUAUUUUUGUUUCCAUAACUAGACUCUCCAGGAAUCUGUGUAAUGACUGAGCCUAAAUUCCAAUCCUGCUUUCACCAUUUAUUUGCUGUGCAGCUUUAAAGAAUUACUUAACUUUCCUGACCCUCAAUUUUCUCAUCCAUAAGAAGGGUAUUAUAACAGUAGCACCUACCUAAGAGCAUUCUUACAACUACUAAAUGUAUUUAUAUAUAAAAUAUUCAGAGUUACACAUGGCACUUAAUAUAUGUUACUCUUUUUAAUGCACCUUCUUAGUUUUAGGCAUAGAGCAGACACUUAAUAAAUCCUGGGAUGAUGGACUUCAUUAGAAAGUGGGAUGGAACUUGGAGUUCCCAUCGUGGCACAGCAGAAAUGAAUCUGACUAGGAACCAUGAGGCUGCAGGAACUCCUGCUUUGUCUAUUCUUAAACCUUAAGGGAAAGUCUAUAUCUGGACCAUGUUAAAUGUUUAGCAGUCUAUACCAUUAGGUUAACUACAGGAAUGAAUUGCUUAAAUCUCUAGGAUUCCCUCUAUAUCCAUUUCUGCAGCUGGCCUCUCUCCAUUAUUAUAGGCUUCUGGUCAGCUUUCUUUUUCAAAGCCUAACCACCUCAGCCCCAUUACUCUUUCCUUGGGGUUAGCAAUGUUUAUUUUGAUUUGAAUUUCCAAGUGUAGAAAUAUUUCGGGCACUAUAUUGACCCC